UACCUGCAGCUCUAGUGGUGAUCGCUAUUAUUGGGCCUAAAACGUCCGUAGCCGGCUUAUUAAAUGCCUGGGUAAAUCGUGUAGCUUAACUAUACGAAUUCCGGGUAGACUGAUAGGCUUGAGACCGGGAGAAGCUAGAGGUACUCCUGGGGUAGAGGUGAAAUUCUGUAAUCCUAGGGGGACCACCAGUGGCGAAGGCGUCUAGCUAGAACGGGUCUGACGGUGAGGGACGAAGCCCUGGGGCGCAAACCGGAUUAGAUACCCGGGUAGUCCAGGGUGUAAACGCUGCUUGCUUGAUGCUAGUUGGGCUCUGAGCCCAAUUAGUGUCGGAGAGAAGUUGUUAAGCAAGCUGCCUGGGAAGUACGGUCGCAAGACUGAAACUUAAAGGAAUUGGCGGGGAGCACAGCAACGGGUGGAGCGUGCGGUUU
rnacentral:rRNA from 1 species